AGUGAACGCUGGCGGUAGGCCUAACACAUGCAAGUCGAACGGCAGCACAGUAAGAGCUUGCUCUUACGGGUGGCGAGUGGCGGACGGGUGAGGAAUACAUCGGAAUCUACUUUUUCGUGGGGGAUAACGUAGGGAAACUUACGCUAAUACCGCAUACGACCUACGGGUGAAAGCAGGGGAUCUUCGGACCUUGCGCGAUUGAAUGAGCCGAUGUCGGAUUAGCUAGUUGGCGGGGUAAAGGCCCACCAAGGCGACGAUCCGUAGCUGGUCUGAGAGGAUGAUCGGCCACACUAGAACUGAGACACGGUCCAGACUCCUACGGGAGGCAGCAGUGUGGAAUAUUGGGCAAUGGGCGCAAGCCUGAUCCAGCCAGACCGCGUGUGUGAAGAAGGCGUUCGGGUUGUAAAGCCCUUUUGUGGGGAAAGAAAAGCAGCAGGUUAAUACCCCGCUGUUCUGACGGUACCCAAAGAAUAAGCACCGGCUAACUUCGUG
rnacentral:rRNA from 1 species